UAGGGAAUCUUCGGCAAUGGGGGCAACCCUGACCGAGCAACGCCGCGUGAGUGAAGAAGGUUUUCGGAUCGUAAAGCUCUGUUGUAAGAGAAGAACGUGUGUGAGAGUGGAAAGUUCACACAGUGACGGUAACUUACCAGAAAGGGACGGCUAACUACGUGCCAGCAGCCGCGGUAAUACGUAGGUCCCGAGCGUUGUCCGGAUUUAUUGGGCGUAAAGCGAGCGCAGGCGGUUUAAUAAGUCUGAAGUUAAAGGCAGUGGCUUAACCAUUGUUCGCUUUGGGAACUGUUAAACUUGAGUGCGGAAGGGGAGAGUGGAAUUCCAUGUGUAGCGGUGAAAUGCGUGGAUAUAUGGAGGGACGCCGGUGGCGAAAGCGGCUCUCUGGUCUGUAACUGACGCUGAGGCUCGAAAGCGUGGGGAGCAAACAGG
rnacentral:rRNA from 1 species